rnacentral:rRNA from 1 species
GUGGGGAAUUUUGGACAAUGGGCGCAAGCCUGAUCCAGCAAUGCCGCGUGCAGGAAGAAGGCCUUCGGGUUGUAAACUGCUUUUGUACGGAACGAAACGGUCCGGGUUAAUACCCUGGGCUAAUGACGGUACCGUAAGAAUAAGCACCGGCUAACUACGUGCCAACAGCCGCGGUAAUACGUAGGGUGCAAGCGUUAAUCGGAAUUACUGGGCGUAAAGCGUGCGCAGGCGGUUUUGUAAGACAGUCGUGAAAUCCCCGGGCUCAACCUGGGAAUUGCGCUUGUGACUGCAAGGCUGGAGUGCGGCAGAGGGGGAUGGAAUUCCGCGGGUAGCAGUGAAAUGCGUAGAUAUGCGGAGGAACACCGAUGGCGAAGGCAAUCCCCUGGGCCUGCACUGACGCUCAUGCACGAAAGCGUGGGGAGCAAACAGGAUUAGAAACCCCAGUAGUCC